rnacentral:rRNA from 1 species
AAUAUGGUACAAUGGGGGAAACCCUGAUCCAGCCAUGCCGCGUGAGCGAUGAAGGNUUNNGGAUCNUNAAGCUCUGUCCUAGGNNNNNAAGGGAGCCGUCAGGCUUCUUGACGGUACCCAUGGAGGAAGCCCCGGCUAACUACGUCCCAGCAGCCGCGGUAAUACGUAGGGGGCAAGCGUUGUCCGGAAUUAUUGGGCGUAGAGGGUGCGUAGGCGGCCCUUUAAGUCAGAUGUGAAAGCCCACGGCUUAACCGUGGGACUGCAUUUGAAACUGGAGGGCUUGAGUGUCGGAGAGGGCAGUGGAAUUCCCAGUGUAGCGGUGGAAUGCGUAGAUAUUGGGAGGAACACCAGUGGCGAAGGCGACUGCCUGGACGAUAACUGACGCUGAGGCACGAAAGCUAGGGGAGCAAAC